rnacentral:rRNA from 1 species
AGUGAACGCUGGCGGUAUGCCUAACACAUGCAAGUCGAACGGCAGCACAGUAAGAGCUUGCUCUUACGGGUGGCGAGUGGCGGACGGGUGAGGAAUACAUCGGAAUCUACUUUUUCGUGGGGGAUAACGUAGGGAAACUUACGCUAAUACCGCAUACGACCUACGGGUGAAAGCAGGGGAUCUUCGGACCUUGCGCGAUUGAAUGAGCCGAUGUCGGAUUAGCUAGUUGGCGGGGUAAAGGCCCACCAAGGCGACGAUCCGUAGCUGGUCUGAGAGGAUGAGCAGCCACACUGGAACUGAGACACGGUCCAGACUCCUACGGGAGGCAGCAGUGGGGAAUAUUGGACAAUGGGCGCAAGCCUGAUCCAGCCAUACCGCGUGGGUGAAGAAGGCCUUCGGGUUGUAAAGCCCUUUUGUUGGGAAAGAAAAGCAGCAGGUUAAUACCCCGCUGUUCUGACGGUACCCAAAGAAUAAGCACCGGCUAACUUCGUG